rnacentral:tRNA from 1 species
GACAUGGCGGAGUGGUUAACGCGCUCGACUCAAGAGACUACCAUGGUGAUCUUACAUCAUGCUUGGUCCCUGACAGUUCGAGUCUCGAAAGAGGCGCGAGUUCGAAUCUCGCUGUCG